rnacentral:lncRNA from 1 species
UUUUUUUUUCUUCAAUUAUUAUUUUAUUAAAUUAAGGAAUCCUAAAAUAUAUGGAAAAGAAAUAAAUAUGAGAGUCCUAACAUAUAUGAAGAUACAAUUAACAGUCCUAAAAUAUAUGUAAAAACCACAUUGAUAAGAGAAAAAAGCAACAUAUCGUUAGGUUUAUGUACUCCUUUAAUAGGCUCUCGGCUAUGGACUUAUGGUGCAUCUUUGGUGAAGAGAAAAAAAGUGCACAGAUGAAAAAAAAGAAAAAAAACAGACACAUACAACACAUGAAGCAAAGUUGUAGAACUAUGUAAGCUUAUACUGUUGCAUGAGUUUUACAAAGAUUAAUUAUAUGUAAUGGUCCCUUGUCAAGGUAUUAAGGUUACAUAUGUUGCAUUUUUUUUCUUUAAUACAAAAUUUCUUUCCACCAACAUAUACUCCUUAAUGCAUAACACCUUUUAAUUGAAAUAAGAAUAUUGGUUAUUUGAUCGGUAUCUACUAUAAUAAUAGAUGAUAAAUGAAUUUGAUCUGUGUUGGUUACUUAAUGCAGAAAAUUAUUGAUACGUGUCAAAAAUUAUUAAUGAGGUGGUUUGUGUUAUUGUGUGAUGGUCUAAUAUUUUCUUCUUUCUAUUAUUUAUUUUAUUGUUGUGUAUUAUCUUAGUGAGAGAUCAAAAAUUGAUAUGUUGUGGCACUUUGAUAGAAAUUUAUUUAAUCUUGAUCCUAUUUUGAUUGAUCAUGACUACUUCUAUAUUUAGUAGUAAUUUGUGUUAUCUGAAAUCUGAAGGCAAUGACCGCUGCUUAUGGAUUAUCUGAUCCAAUUUCAACUUCUGAGCUUACUGAACUGAAUUUUCUUCGAAACCGCAAAUUGAAAAAGGUUUGUUCUUGAUUUACCUUAUGCUUUUGAUUGAAAUUUUUUUUCUGUUAUGUUAGUGAUGAUCAUAAAUACUCUCUAUCUCUAGAAAAUAGGGGUAAGGUUUUCACUCCCACCUCUCUACAUGUUGGAUUACGUGGGAUAUGUUGUUGUUGUUGGUAUGUUUGUUAUGAUCAAAGAUAGUCUCUCUAUCUCUACGAGGUAGGAGGAAGGUUUGCAUACAAUCACUUGUGGAUAACAGGGGUAUGUUGUUGUUGUUGGUACUGUAUUUGUGAUGGAUUUUCAAAUUAUGUAUACAGAAUUGAUUGGAUAAAAAUAUUUUUUAUUGUAUUUGUGAUGAUAAAAAAUUUAAGUCUACGUACAUUUUGCAUUGGGUAUGUCAGUUGUUGUUGUUGUGUUUGCAAUGUAUUUUUGAAUUAUGUAUAAAAAAUAUGAUCUAACAAAUUAUGGGGCUUCCCCUAACUUUGAAUCUUCAUAGAGUUGAUAAUCAUAAUUCAAAAGUUAGUAACUAAGAUUUUUUGUGAUGCGACCUUCCUUUCUUGAACAGAUUUGUAAUUUAAAUGUUGCAUUGUAAAGGAGACUUUAGGAUAAGCUUUAGGUAACACUGUUAAUCUCAAGCAUGGAUUUAGUUUAAGAUUUAUUUAGACUUUUAUUCUCAUGUAUCUAUCUAACUAUUUUAAAAGUGUAAAAAAUCUUAUAAAUGCCCUACAAUAUACAAAAUAGUCAUUUACUAUAUUUUUUAAAAUUAAUGUUUAAUUAUUUUUAUAAUAUUAACUCCUAAAUAUAUGAAAAGAAUAAGAGGCAUAAAGUUUUAUUAACACUAAACAACUGAAUCACUGUUGUUAAUACCAAUAGGGUAGCAACUUUCUUCUAUUUUGAUAUAUUUUCUUAGGUAUAUGUACAAAGUUAAGAAAAUUUUGAUGGUAGAGUAUAGUAAAUACAUAAAUUUAUGUUGGUAUAUUUGUAUGUUAGAAUUUUGGACCGGAUUGGAUGUUUCUUUCUUUGUGGUGAGCAAAAGUUGGGAGGAUCUACUGAAAAUUUCUUUUAGUGUAUUAAUCAAUUUUUCUGAAUAUUUUGCGAUGGUUAGAUGUGGUCUAAUGAAUUAAAAUUAUUCCUGUUUAAGAUCACAACUUUCUUUUGUUGCCAUAUGUAAUGGAUUGUUUUCUCACAUGUUGUGAUUUGAUAUUUGUUGGUUAAUGAAUCAAACUGCUUCUAAAAUAAGAAGGUUUCUCAUACAUGGAUCUAUCAUUUGUUCUUCUGAAUGCAUUUGGAUUGAUGUUAAUUUGGUUGGUUGUUCUGUUAGUUUGAUCUAUAAUUUUUGCAUUUAUUUGAAAAAUAUCUUUGCUGACUUUUAGACGUAUUCCUUAGAAAAAUAGUAUAAUUAUAUGUGUGAUGUUUGAAAAAAAAUUUCACUUUUAUUGGUUGUUGUUAAGUUGACAAUCUUCGUAUAUAUGUAGGGAUGCUUGAAAGUAGGAAGGGAAAACUUCUGUAUGUAUAAUAUAUGAAAAGUAGGGAAAUACUUAGUUUAGUAUAUAACCCUAACUUUAUUUAAUAAAGCAAAUGCAUUAAUUAAGCCUCCCACAUAAUUUUUCAGGUGAAAUUAUUAUAAGAUUCGAUCAAAGUGAUUUUUUUAUGACUGAAAAAGAGUAAGAUAACUUUUGUGUAAUGAAAGAAAGAAAAAUAUUUAUUGUGUAAUGGACACAAAACUAAAGUGGUCAUGAAUGAGAUUUUCUCAAAAUAUAUUGAUUUAAAGAUUGAAUUGUAAAGGGAAGCAAGUUGGAAUACGACUCUAAAUGAGUUAAUGAGACUAUAUACAAUGUUUUUAGUUCUUUUCUUUUCUUGUUAAUAUGUUGAUUUGUUUUUUCUUAUAUUCUAAAUUAUUUUGAUCGAUUUAAAAUUAUUUAUUUAUUACAAUAGUGGUAUGACUCUAAUUUGUGGCAGUUGAAGAGCAGAUGCAAAUCUAGAAGUUGGACUUUAUGGUAAUUUAAAUCUUUUUUCUUAAUAUGUAAAAAUAGUUUUUAAAAAUUAUUUUUUUAAUAUUUAAAUAUUAUCUUUUAAUUAUUUCCUAACUACAUGGAUUUUGAUUUUAGUCCAUAAUGAACACGUAUAACUUUAAAUUUAUUUUCUUACUAUUAGGACUUUGAUUUUACUCCAUAAAGAACACGUAAGUUCUUUGAACUUUUUUUUUCUAUUUUUGUGUGAAUUUUCUUUUCUUAUAAUUUAUUUAAGGUGUCUUAAAAUAUAUGGUAAUAGAUUUUAAGAGAACUAGUAAUUAAGAAAUUCUAAAAUCUGUGGUAAAAGGAAAGAUAUAUUAGUAAGAAAUAUUAAGAGAAUCAAUAAUUAAGGAAUCCUAAAAUAUAUGAUAAAGGAAAGAUAUAUGGUUUGUAUUUUAGGUUGGUCUUAUUAUUGGGAGCUCUGAACCAAAAUAAGUUAUCCUUUAAAUGAAUUCACCAAAGUAAUAUAUUUUUUUGAAACUUUACCAAACUAGUAUAAACGUUGUUCUCAGUAACGUAUUAUGCUUUUAAAAAGGUUAACGAACCAAAAAGAGCCGUGGACGACAUUAAAAUAGGAAUUGUUACUAUCAAUAAUAUUUUGGACAUAAAACGUUACAGUGAGUAAUGAGAACCAGCAACUCUGGCACAUCAGAAUCUUUGUAUGAAUCAGACGUUAAAUUCGUUACUGCCAAUUACGUUUUAGCUUUAAACGUUACUCUGAGUAACGAUACUAUCAAAUCAACUCAAAACUCUGUGGUGUCAGAGUUUUGAGUUACUCAGAGUAACGUUUUAAAGCUAAAACAUAAUUGACAAUAACAAAUUUAACAUCAGAUUUGUAUAAAGAUUCAGAUGUGACAAAGUUGAAGAGUCUUGUUACUCACAGUAACGUUUUAUGUCAAAAACAUUAAUGCCAGUAACGUUUUACGUCAAAAACGUUACUGACAGUAACGAUUCCUAUUUUAACAUCAUCUACAACACUUUUUUGGUCCAUUAACUUUUAUUAAAGCAUAAUAUAUUACCGGAACAACGUUUAUACUGGUUUGGUAAAGUUUCAAAAAAAUAUAUUACUAUGGUGAAUUGAUUUAAAAAAUAACUUAUUUUGGUCUAGAGUACUAUUAUUGGUAAAAAUAGUGUAACCAUAAAAAAUAUGCAAGCAAGAACUAAAACACGUAUUCAGAUAACUUUAAAAUAAUUUUUAUUAAAUAAUGUGAAUAUUUUGGCAGAAAUAGUACUUUGGUUUAAUGAAGAGUUACAAUCCUUUUCAUUGUGAAAAGGAAUUAUAUUUUAGAGAAAUUUUUCCAAAUUUGUUUUUGCGCGAGAGAAUUCUUAAGGAUUUUUAUUUUGGUAUCAGCCAAAUCUAAGUAAUUCUAUUUUAUUUUAUUCUUUUAUAGUAUCUGACCAUCUCAAACAAAUAUGAUUUUUUGAUAAAUUUUUGUUAGGUUAUUUUUUAUUUGACUACUACUGCUUUUACUGCUGCUGCUACUGCUACUGCUACUGUUACUCCUGCUACUGCUACUACUACUGCUCCUUCUCUUCCUACUCCUACUCACCCUUCUCUUACUAUUACUACUACUGCUACUUCUACUACUACUGCUACUACUACUACUACUGCUACUGCUACUCAUACUCCUACUCCUACUCCUCCUCCUUCUCCUCCUACUGCUCCUUCUCCUCCUCCUUCUACUCCUACUCCUACUCCUACUCCUACUCCUCAUCUUCCUACUACUCCUACUACUACUCCUACUCCUACUCAUACUCCUACUCCUACUCCUACUUGUAAUGACCCAAGACUACCCCCUAGUCGUCACAUGAUGCUUACGAUCCUGAAGGACCAUAAGCUAACCCAUGACUGAUAUCUGCUAUGAGCACUAAAUAGUAAUGAUGAAUAAAUACGAAAAAAUAGGCUGAAAUGCCAUACGGAUCAAAAUCUGAAAUAAUGAUAAAUAACAACAUAUGAUAAAACAGCUGAAUUUGAAAUACUGUCUGAACUAGCCUAGUCCGAAAGCCUCUAACUGUACUGUCUAAAUAUGAAGUUGAAGGGACAAACCCCCAACUAACUCUAACUACUAAAAUACUGAAACUACUGAAAUACUAAAAUAAAAACAUAUCCUUGUUAGAUGAGGACUCACUGCUAAAUCUGUGACUGCUGACUG